rnacentral:rRNA from 1 species
AUGGCGUCUCCUCCGGGCCCGGGGUCUGCCAACCGCGCGCUCUCCUCCUCAUCGAGGGGGCCGCUCUCGCCCUUCCCCGGCGGCGCGGGCCCGUUCCUCCGGCAUCAACCUCCUCCCGGCGGCGACUCCGAUGGCGGCGCCUCCAUGGACGAGUUCGACGAAGAUGACGAGGACGAGGACGAGGAAGAGGAUGAUGGGGAGGAUCAGGACGCCGAGCUGGCGGCCCGCAGCUCGCAGCAGCGACGCGCCUCCUCUCCAGCAGGAAUCGGGCGGCCUGUGGUGAAUGGGGAGAAUGGAACGAGGCAAAUCCAGGAGGGGCAGCAAUGGCAGCUGUACAGCUGUGGAACCGAGCAGCACGGUCGCAGUUCAUCUAGAGGGGACGAAGAGCCUGGUUCUGUUCCCAGGGAGAUGAGGGUGGAGGAUGGAUAUGGAGUCAUUGGGAGGAGAGAGGGAGGCCCUGCGUCUAGCUACUGGGACCUGCUCAGAGCGCACCUGUCCGACCCGUUGACAGGCAUUCUCAUGGACGACGCGAUGAUUCUGUCAUGUGGGCAUUCUUAUGGAAGUAGUGGGAUGCAGCAUAUCUACAGAAUGAAAGCUUGUGGUAAAUGUGGUCAGCCAAUUACCGAGGACUCCAUUCGACCAAACCUGGCUCUUGGCCUUGCAGUCCAGGCAUUUAGACGCGAGGAAGAGUCGGCGAAAACACUGAAAAGAAGAAGAGAUCGCAUCGAACAGGACAAAUGUGGCAACGAUGACCCGAAUCCAGCCGAGGUUUCGAGAGGCAAAGGCGUCCAGUAUCCUUUCGCUGUCUUCGACCGAGUGAUAAUCAAGGGAAACAAGAGGACCCCGGAGCGGUUCGUGGGGCGCGUGGCGGUGGUGACAGCACAGUGCUUGAAUGGAUGGUAUGUGGUGAAGACCCUGGACAACGCGGAGAGCGUGAAGCUGCAGUACCGCUCCCUGGCGAAGUUCGUGGACGGCGGCAGCGGUGAGCCUCCCGCCGUGGUCUCCAACAGUUCCCAGAACACAAGCUGGUUGUGA